rnacentral:rRNA from 1 species
UGGGGAAUAUUGCACAAUGGGCGCAAGCCUGAUGCAGCCAUGCCGCGUGUAUGAAGAAGGCCUUCGGGUUGUAAAGUACUUUCAGCGGGGAGGAAGGUGUUGUGGUUAAUAACCACAGCAAUUGACGUUACCCGCAGAAGAAGCACCGGCUAACUCCGUGCCAGCAGCCGCGGUAAUAAGGAGGGUGCAAGCGUUAAUCGGAAUUACUGGGCGUAAAGCGCACGCAGGCGGUCUGUCAAGUCGGAUGUGAAAUCCCCGGGCUCAACCUGGGAACUGCAUCCGAAACUGGAAGGCUUGAGUCUUGUAGAGGGGGGUAGAAUUCCAGGUGUAGCGGUGAAAUGCGUAGAGAUCUGGAGGAAUACCGGUGGCGAAGGCGGCCCCCUGGACAAAGACUGACGCUCAGGUGCGAAAGCGUGGGGAGCAAACA